rnacentral:rRNA from 1 species
ACGCACGCUGGCGGCGCGCCUAACACAUGCAAGUCGAACGAGCGAGAGAGAGCUUGCUUUCUCAAGCGAGUGGCGAACGGGUGAGUAACGCGUGAGGAACCUGCCUCAAAGAGGGGGACAACAGUUGGAAACGACUGCUAAUACCGCAUAAGCCCACGACCCGGCAUCGGGUAGAGGGAAAAGGAGCAAUCCGCUUUGAGAUGGCCUCGCGUCCGAUUAGCUAGUUGGUGAGGUAACGGCCCACCAAGGCGACGAUCGGUAGCCGGACUGAGAGGUUGAACGGCCACAUUGGGACUGAGACACGGCCCAGACUCCUACGGGAGGCAGCAGUGGGGAAUAUUGCACAAUGGGGGAAACCCUGAUGCAGCGACGCCGCGUGGAGGAAGAAGGUCUUCGGAUUGUAAACUCCUGUUGUGGAGGAAGAUAAUGACGGUACUCAACAAGGAAGUGACGGCUAACUACGUG